rnacentral:pre_miRNA from 1 species
UGGACAUAUUAUUGUGUUCGACUGUAUUCGAUUGUAUUCACGACGUGAAACAGGGGAUUACACUGUUUUUAAACGGAAAGUGAAUCAACUAACGUAAUAGACUCCU